rnacentral:rRNA from 1 species
GAUGAACGCUGGCGGCGUGCCUAAUACAUGCAAGUAGAACGCUGAAGGAAGGAGCUUGCUCUUUCCGGAUGAGUUGCGAACGGGUGAGUAACGCGUAGGUAACCUGCCUGGUAGCGGGGGAUAACUAUUGGAAACGAUAGCUAAUACCGCAUAACAGUAGAUGUUGCAUGAUAUCUACUUAAAAGGUGCAAUUGCACCACUACCAGAUGGACUUGCGUUGUAUUAGCUAGUUGGUGAGGUAACGGCUCACCAAGGCGACGAUACAUAGCCGACCUGAGAGGGUGAUCGGCCACACUGGGACUGGGACACGGCCCAGACUCCUACGGGAGGCAGCAGUAGGGAAUCUUCGGCAAUGGACGGAAGUCUGACCGAGCAACGCCGCGUGAGUGAAGAAGGUUUUCGGAUCGUAAAGCUCUGUUGUAAGAGAAGAACGAGUGUGAGAGUGGAAAGUUCACACUGUGACGGUAUCUUACCAGAAAGGGACGGCUAACUACGUG